rnacentral:lncRNA from 1 species
CCUAAACCCCACAAAGCAAGGUAGGUGCGUACUACCUACAGAAAAAAAAAGAUCAAUAAAAAACAAACCAAAUAAAUAUUGUGAUCUUGAAUUAAGUCAUAAUGUAAAUAAAUAAUAUAUACCAGCAUAAGAUCUUUAAUUUCUUUCAAGUUAUUAAUUGUUUCUGUCUUCAUUUUUCUUAAUUUCUAUAUAUAUUUAUAAGGGAAAAACUUGGAUCAAGCCUGCAGCCUAUCGUAUUUCAUUAACUUAAUUAUACCCUACAACCACAUCUAUAUAAUUAAGAGGAUAAAAUUAAGGAAUUAUAGAAGGUCAUAAAAAUAAGUAAAAAAAGGUUGUGAAGAUCUAGAUCAUUUCUUCGAUCACAAACAUUUUUUUCAUGAUUUAUGUUAGUUCCAUACAAUCUGAUCACCCCCACCCCACCCC